AGGCUGAGGCAGGAGAAUCGCUUGAACCUGGGAGGCAGAGGUUGCAGUGAGUCAAGAUCGGACCAUUGCACUCCAGCCUGGGCAACAAGAGCAAAACUCCGUCUCAAAAACAACAACAACAACAAAAAAAACCCAAAAAACAAAACAAAACAAAAAAACAUUUAGGUUUUUCAUUUUGUAGAAAAGUAACAGUAGUACGAGUACAGAAAAAGGUGGUUACUUGCCUAUCAUCAUGUGAGCUGACUGCAUUCUCCCGGGGAUUAAUCACAUGACAAAAUGCUGAAAUUCCAGUUUGAGGGUCAUUCCUUUAGGUCUUGGCAGCAUUUCAGCUUAUGGUUUCAUGUCCCGAUUUUUUUUUUUUUUUUUUUUUUGAGACAGAGUCUCACUCUGUCACCCAGGCUGGAAUGCAGUGGCACAAUCUCGGCUCACUGCAGCCUAUGCUCCGGGUUCAAGUGAUUCUCCUGCCUCAGGCUCCAGAGCAGCUGGGAUUACAGGCAUGCGCCACCACACCUGGCUCAUUUUUGUAUUUUUAGUAGAGAUGGGGUUUCACCAUGUUGGCCAGGCUGGUCUUCAACUCCUGACCUCAAGUGAUCCGACCACCUCGGCCUUACCCAAAGUGCUGGGAUUACAGGCAUGAGCCACCACACUCAGACUUAAGUGUUAGUAGGUAAUAUUAAUAGAAAUGGAAGUUCCGAGGUAAUUCUUAGAUACACUGGGUUAUGGAAAGGCAAACAAACUUUCUACACCACAGUGCACGUCAAUCUUGUGAGAGGUUAAUCAUGUGGUUUUUGUUUGUUCCAAGAGCAGGAGAUUGCUUCAUUGGCUUGUCUAAGAACAUAAACCAUUUUUCAAUUAUCAAGUACAGUGGUCAUCUAACCUAUAGCAAAAUCAUUCUGCAUUGUGUUUUAUUUCAUUAUCAAAACUUAAAAUUGCAUAGGGGAAAUGAUGUUAAUAUUUAAAGGCGAAUUAUUUCCUUUGUGGACAAAAGGGAUAUGAGCAUGUAGAUCACAACGAAUGAUCACACUGACACUACAGACACAAUGAAUGAUCACGCUGACACUAAAGACACAACAAAUGAUCACGCUGACACUACAGACACAAUGAAUGUUCACGCUGACACUACAGACACAACGAAUGAUCACGCUGACACUACAGACACAACGAAUGAUCACGCUGACACUACAGAACUUUGGCUGACAAUGCAUAAUGCGUGAUGCUCCUUAGUUUGGAAAAGUAAUUUUUAUAGGGCUGGAAGUGAGUUUAGGUAGUUAUCAACUGCAAUCCUGAUUUCCAAAAGGUUUUUAAAAAGGUAGUUUUUAGAAUUGAUGGUAUCGUGCACAUAAUUCAUCCCAUUUAUAAAACUGUAUAUAAAGCUUAGAAAAAUUACAAGGAUAAACACAGAUCAACAUUCCUUUUCUUUCAUUUGUCUAGAAUAUAUUGAACCAGAAGAAUGAAUUGACUCUGCCAGAAAAAUGACUAUUGCACAAUUAUUUUAAAAGAAUCUUAGAGUUUGCUGAUAUCAUACUCAGAAAUUUUCCAUUUACCCUAAUGAGUGAAACUCAUCUUGUUUUCAAUCAUGUUUUAAAAAUUCCGAUUUCCUACAAUAUCUAUGUCAUUUUGAAAAACUAUAUUCUUUCACAAAUAUAAUUCCUUCUCAAAAUACAUUAGAGAUUGCUAAAUAUUUUGGUAUAAACAUCAAAAAUUAACUCUUUCUUUUGAGACUGGUUCUCGCUCUAUUGCCCAGGCUGGAGUGCAAUGGCAUGAUCUCGGCUCACUGCAAUCUCUGCCUCCCAGGUUC
rnacentral:lncRNA from 10 species